rnacentral:rRNA from 1 species
GAUGAACGCUAGCGGCAGGCCUAAUACAUGCAAGUCGGACGGGAUUCAGGAGCUUGCUUCUGAUGAGAGUGGCGCACGGGUGCGUAACACGUAUGUAACCUACCUUUAUCAGGGGGAUAGCCUCUCGAAAGAGAGAUUAAGCCCGCAUAAAAUCACAGCACAGCAUUGUGUAAUGAUCAAAUAUUUAUAGGAUAAAGAUGGGCAUGCGGAACAUUAGCUAGAUGGCGGGGUAACGGCCCACCAUGGCGACGAUGUUUAGGGGAUCUGAGAGGAUGGCCCCCCACACUGGUACUGAGACACGGACCAGACGCCUACGGGAGGCAGCAGUAAGGAAUAUUGGUAAAUGGGCGGAAGCCUGAACCAGCCAUGCCGCGUGCAGGAAGACGGCCCUACGGGUUGUAAACUGCUUUUAUACGGGAAUAAACCCAGAUACGUGUAUCUGGCUGAAUGUACUGUAAGAAUAAGGAUCGGCUAACUCCGUG